rnacentral:misc_RNA from 1 species
AAGUCGUAACAAGGUUUCCGUAGGUGAACCUGCGGAAGGAUCAUUACCAAAGUAUUAUUGCUUACCACUUGUGAACAUUAUCUCUGUCCUUGGGGGAGGGAGAAGGCUCGACCGCGUGUGCUAACGCAUGCCUGGACUUUCUUUCCAACUCCCCCAGCGGGGUGCCCGCUGACUGCUUGCAGUUGUGGGUUCACCUUCGCACUUUUGUUAACCACAUGUGCAAAGUUGAAAUUGGUGUAUGUACCUUUCUCUUUUUGAGAAAUCAAAAAGAUUGACAACUUUUAACGGUGGAUCUCUUGGCUCGU